rnacentral:rRNA from 1 species
UACAGAGGGUGCGAGCGUUAAUCGGAAUUACUGGGCGUAAAGCGCGCGUAGGCGGCUUUGCAAGCCGGAUGUGAAAUCCCCGGGCUUAACCUGGGAACUGCAUUCGGGACUGCAUUGCUAGAGUAUGGGAGAGGGAAGUGGAAUUUCAGGUGUAGCGGUGAAAUGCGUAGAUAUCUGAAGGAACAUCAGUGGCGAAAAGCGACUUCCUGGACCAAUACUGACGCUCAUGUGCGAAAAGCGUGGGGGAGCAAACAGGG